UACGUAGGGGCCGAGCGUUGUCCGGAGUUACUGGGCGUAAAGCGCGCGCAGGCGGCUCGUCAAGUCUGCCGUGAAAGCCCCCGGCUCAACCGGGGAGGGUCGUCGGGGACUGGCGAGCUUGAGGUCGGCAGGGGCGGGUGGAAUUCCCGGUGUAGUGGUGAAAUGCGUAGAGAUCGGGAGGAACACCCGUGGCGAAGGCGGCCAGCUGGGCCAUUACUGACACUCAGCUGCGAAAGCGAGGGGAGCAAACAGG
rnacentral:rRNA from 1 species